UCCUCUAGAGAUUAGAGUUUGAUCCUGGCUCAGGAUGAACGCUAGCGGCAGGCCUAAUACAUGCAAGUCGAACGGUGUCUUCGGACAUAGUGGCGCACGGGUGCGUAACACGUAUGCAACCUACCUUACAUUGGGGGAUAGCCUUUCGAAAGGGAGAUUAAUACCGCAUAAGACAGUAGCUGGGCAUCCAGCAGCUGUUAAAGAUUUAUCGAUGUAAGCUGGGCAUGCGUCCAAUUAGCUAGUUGGUGAGGUAACGGCUCACCAAGGCUAUGAUUGGUAGGGGAACUGAGAGGUCAAUCCCCCACACUGGCACUGAGAUACGGGCCAGACUCCUACGGGAGGCAGCAGUAGGGAAUAUUGGGCAAUGGACGCAAGUCUGACCCAGCCAUGCCGCGUGCAGGAUGAAGGCGUUAUGCGUUGUAAACUGCUUUUAUACAGGAAGAAACGACUCUUGCGAGAGGCAUUGACGGUACUGUAUGAAUAAGCACCGGCUAACUCCGUGCCAGCAGCCGCGGUAAUACGGAGGGUGCAAGCGUUGUCCGGAUUUAUUGGGUUUAAAGGGUGCGCAGGUGGUUUAUUAAGUCAGUGGUGAAAGACGGUCGCUCAACGAUUGCAGUGCCAUUGAAACUGGUAGACUUGAGUAAAGUAGAGGUGGG
rnacentral:rRNA from 1 species